rnacentral:lncRNA from 1 species
CUGAAGCAGUGCUCAUGUCAUAAUUUUCAAGGCGAUUAUGUCAAAUAUACUGCCUUUUAAUUGAUGUUGCUGGUUAUCUAGGAGUUUAUGACAUGAAUCGGUAUAUGCAUCAUCAAGAUUUCACCUUUUGUUUCUAGUUUCCCCUUUAGAGUUAGUGUUUCUUAUUGUAUUAGGAUAACUAAUGUCAUAAUCGAUUGAUCCGUGAUUUAGCUUCAUCUUGCUCCUUUUUGUUUUAUAAUCUGUUUGUUUAAAACUUGAUAUCAUUAGUUAAUCAUUUAC